CGGGGCGUGGCUCAGUUUGGCUAGAGCGCUUGAAUGGGGUUCAAGAGGUCACAGGUUCAAGUCCUGUCGCCCCGACCA
rnacentral:tRNA from 1 species